CAGGGAGCAGUCCAUGCAAAAUCUUCACUGAGCCUUGCAGAUUAAGAGUACUCUGUGUGCACGAAAUUGGCGAAGGACAAAGCUCAUCAGAUUUCUCCAUUGGGAUGCUGUGAUCCUGUUUCUCUUGCAGAAACCCCUGAAAGACAGGUUGGAACCAACAUGGUGGAAGUGUCAAGGCCAAACCCCUACAUCCUGACGUUGGGAGAUAAUGACCAGCGCUGCGCUCAGGCAUUCGUCAUUCUGGUGGGACAUGCUCUGGAGCAAUACACACUACUUGGGGCGGUUGAUGUGUGCUUCAAGGCAUUUUAUAUUUUUGACAUUAACUAUCCAAAGCAGUGUGCUCCUGUAUAGGACUUUUUGUAAUGUUGCUAUGAAAUAGCGAGGCCUACUUGAAAAGUCAUA